CAUGCAAGUCGAGCGGAUGAGUGGAGCUUGCUCCAUGAUUCAGCGGCGGACGGGUGAGUAAUGCCUAGGAAUCUGCCUGGUAGUGGGGGACAACGUUUCGAAAGGAACGCUAAUACCGCAUACGUCCUACGGGAGAAAGUGGGGGAUCUUCGGACCUCACGCUAUCAGAUGAGCCUAGGUCGGAUUAGCUAGUUGGCGAGGUAAAGGCUCACCAAGGCGACGAUCCGUAACUGGUCUGAGAGGAUGAUCAGUCACACUGGAACUGAGACACGGUCCAGACUCCUACGGGAGGCAGCAGUGGGGAAUAUUGGACAAUGGGCGAAAGCCUGAUCCAGCCAUGCCGCGUGUGUGAAGAAGGUCUUCGGAUUGUAAAGCACUUUAAGUUGGGAGGAAGGGCAGUAAGUUAAUACCUUGCUGUUUUGACGUUACCGACAGAAUAAGCACCGGCUAACUUCGUGCCAGCAGCCGCGGUAAUACGAAGGGUGCAAGCGUUAAUCGGAAUUACUGGGCGUAAAGCGCGCGUAGGUGGUUCGUUAAGUUGGAUGUGAAAGCCCCGGGCUCAACCUGGGAACUGCAUCCAAAACUGGCGAGCUAGAGUAUGGCAGAGGGU
rnacentral:rRNA from 1 species